GCUCAUGUAGCCUAUAGUUGGUUAGGACUUCCGCCUGGGAUGCGGGUGAUCGCGGGAUCAAACCCGACCGAGUG